rnacentral:misc_RNA from 1 species
AAAGCCAAGGCGCUUCUCGCAGAGGCAGGUUAUCCCAAUGGCUUUGAGACCACGCUGUCGUUCGAUCUCGGGUUUGCCGGCGUCAACGAGCCACUGUGCAUUUUGGUGCAGGAAAGCCUCGGCCAGAUUGGCAUCAAGACCACCAUCAACAAGAUCCCCGGCGCGAACUGGCGCACGGAACUGAAUAAGAAGACGCUUCCGCUUUACACCAACGUGUUUUCCGGCUGGCUCGAUUAUCCCGAGUACUUCU